rnacentral:misc_RNA from 1 species
GAUGAAGAACGUAGCGAAAUGCGAUAAGUAAUGUGAAUUGCAGAAUUCAGUGAAUCAUCGAAUCUUUGAACGCACAUUGCGCCCGCCAGUAUUCUGGCGGGCAUGCCUGUUCGAGCGUCAUUUCAACCAUCAAGCCCCCGGCUUGUGUUGGGGACCUGCGGCUGCCGCAGGCCCUGAAAACCAGUGGCUGGCUCGCUAGUCACUCCGAGCGUAGUAAUACAUCUCGCUCAGGGCGUGCUGCGGGUUCCGGCCGUUAAAAAGCCUUAUUUACCCAAGGUUGACCUCGGAUCAGGUAGGAAGACCCGCUGAACUUAAGCAUAUCAAUAAGCGGAGGA